rnacentral:rRNA from 1 species
GCCUAAAAGCGUCCGUAGCCGGUUUUAAAAGUCUCUUGUGAAAUUGUUGGGCUUAACCUAACAACGUGCGAGGGAAACUAUCUGACUAGAGACUGGGAGGAGGUAGAAGUAUUCUGAGGGGAGCGGUAAAAUGUUGUAAUCCUCGGAGGACUACCAGUGGCGAAGGCGUCUACCUAGAACAGGUCUGACGGUGAGGGACGAAGGCCAGGGGAGCAAAACGGAUUAGAUACCCGAGUAGUCCUGGCAGUAAACGCUGUGAGCUAUGUGUUGCACAAUCCCUGAGGUUGUGCAGUGCCUAAGCGAAGGUGUUAAGCUCACCACCUGGGAAGUACAGUCGCAAGACCGAAACUUAAAGGAAUUGGCGGGGGCUCACUACAAGGAGUGAAGAGUGCGGUUUAAUUGGAUUCUACGCCGGAAAUCUCACCAGGGGCGACGGCAUUAUGAAGGUCAGAUUAAAGGUUUUACCUGAGGCGCCGAGAGGUGGUGCAUGGCCGACGCCAGCUCGUGCCGUGAGGUGUCACGUUAAGUCGUGCAACGAGCAAGACCCAUAUCCACUUUUACCAGCGGGUGCUACGGCAUGUCUGGGUACAAUGUGGAGACUGCUUUUGUAAGGAAGAGGAAGGUGUGGGCAACGUUAGGUCAGUAUGCCCCGAA